rnacentral:rRNA from 1 species
AUUCCAGCUCCAAGAGCGUAUAUUAAAGUUGUUGCAGUUAAAAAGCUCGUAGUUGGAUUUCUGGUAUAAUGCGCCUGUCCCGGAAAUUUCUGUGUGACGGUGCGCGUUUGCCAUCCUUCUAGAAAACGUUUCUACCAUUUACUUGGCCGGACUCGCGAUCUAGAUCUUUUACUUUGAAAAAAUUAGAGUGUUUAAAGCAGGCAUAGCUUGAAUACAUUAGCAUGGAAUAAUAAUCUAGGACUUCGGUUCUAUUUUGUUGGUUUCUAGAAUUGAAGUAAUGAUUGAUAGGGAUAGUUGGGGGUGCUAGUAUUGGCCGGCCAGAGGUGAAAUUCUUGGAUUCGGUCAAGACUAACUUAUGCGAAAGCAUUCACCAAGGAUGUCUUCAUUA